rnacentral:snRNA from 1 species
GUGCUUGUUUUGACAGCAUAUAUACUAAGGAAUAACCCAGAGAGGGUUAGCAUGGGCCCCCUGCAAGGUUGACAUGCAAACUUGUAAAGCAUUAAAAACAAAG